rnacentral:rRNA from 1 species
AACGAACGCUGGCGGCAGGCCUAACACAUGCAAGUCGAACGCCCUAGCAAUAGGGAGUGGCAGACGGGUGAGUAACGCGUGGGAAUCUACCUUGUGGUACGGAACAACCAAGGGAAACUUUGGCUAAUACGGUAUGAGCCCUUCGGGGGAAAGAUUUAUCGCCAUAAGAUGAGCCCGCGUAGGAUUAGCUAGUUGGUGAGGUAAUGGCUCACCAAGGCGACGAUCCUUAGCUGGUCUGAGAGGAUGACCAGCCACACUGGGACUGAGACACGGCCCAGACUCCUACGGGAGGCAGCAGUGGGGAAUAUUGGACAAUGGGCGCAAGCCUGAUCCAGCCAUGCCGCGUGUGUGAUGAAGGCCUUAGGGUUGUAAAGCACUUUCGCCGAUGAAGAUAAUGACUGUAGUCGGAGAAGAAGCCCCGGCUAACUUCGUGCCAGCAGCCGCGGUAAUACGAAGGGGGCUAGCGUUGUUCGGAAUUACUGGGCGUAAAGCGUACGUAGGCGGAUUGUUAAGUGAGGGGUGAAAUCCCGAGGCUCAACCUCGGAACUGCCUUUCAUACUGGCAAUCUUGAGUCCGGGAGAGGUGAGUGGAACUCCUAGUGUAGAGGUGAAAUUCGUAGAUAUUAGGAAGAACACCAGUGGCGAAGGCGGCUCACUGGCCCGGAACUGACGCUGAGGUACGAAAGCGUGGGGAGCAAACAGGAUUAGAUACCCUGGUAGUCCACGCCGUAAACGAUGAGUGCUAAGUGUCGGGGGUGACCAACCCUCGGUGCUGUCGCUAACGCAAUAAGCACUCCGCCUGGGGAGUACGGCCGCAAGGCUG